rnacentral:rRNA from 1 species
UACAGAGGGUGCAAGCGUUAAUCGGAAUUACUGGGCGUAAAGCGUGCGUAGACGGUUACAUAAGUCGGGUGUGAAAGCCCCGGGCUCAACCUGGGAACUGCAUCUGUGACUGCAUCGCUGGAGUGCGGCAGAGGGGGAUGGAAUUCCGCGUGUAGCAGUGAAAUGCGUAGAUAUGCGGAGGAACACCGAUGGCGAAGGCAAUCCCCUGGGCCUGCACUGACGCUCAUGCACGAAAGCGUGGGGAGCAAACAGG